rnacentral:rRNA from 1 species
GACGAACGCUGGCGGCGUGCUUAACACAUGCAAGUCGAACGGAAAGGCCCUGCGUUUGUGGGGUUCUCGAGUGGCGAACGGGUGAGUAACACGUGAGUAACCUGCUCUUGACUUUGGGAUAACUUCAGGAAACUGGGGCUACUACCGUAUAGGAUCUCCUGCUGCAUGGUGGGGGUUGGAAAGUUUCGGCUGGUGGGGAUGGAUGCGCGGCUUAUCGGCUUGUUGGUUGGGUAGUGGCUUACCCAGGCUUUGGCGGGUAGCCGGCCUGAGAGGGUGACCGGCCACAUUGGGACUGAGAUACGGCCCAGACUGCUACGGGAGGCAGCAGUGGGGAAUAUUGCACAAUGGGCGGAAGCCUGAUGCAGAAACGCCGCGUGCGGGAUGACGGCCUUCGGGUUGUAAACCGCUUUCGCCUGUGACGCAGCGUGAGUGACGGUAAUGGGUAAAGAAGCACCGGCUAACUACGUG